UAAAAGGGCUUUUGUCGUCAGUGGCACAGUGGGAUUCUUAUUAGGGUCUCAUUGCGGAAUCGCUAUCAAGAGAUUUCGGAAGCAUAAUUUUUGUAACCUGGGUAGUCAGACUGUUGCUUGCAGUGACGCCCUC
rnacentral:snRNA from 1 species